rnacentral:rRNA from 1 species
UACGUAGGGUCCGAGCGUUGUCCGGAGUUACUGGGCGUAAAGCGCGCGCAGGCGGCUCGUCAAGCAUGGCGUGAAAGCCCCCGGCUCAACCGGGGAGGGUCGUCGUGGACUGGCGAGCUUGAGGGCGGGAGGGGCUGGUGGAAUUCCCGGUGUAGUGGUGAAAUGCGUAGAGAUCGGGAGGAACACCCGUGGCGAAGGCGGCCAGCUGGACCGACCCUGACGCUGAGGCGCGAAGGCGUGGGGAGCGAACGGG